rnacentral:misc_RNA from 1 species
CUGAGUACUACACUCUCUACCCUUUGUGAACUAUUAUACCUGUUGCUUCGGCGGCCGCCCGCGAGGGUGCCCGCCGGUCUCAUCAGAAUCUCUGUUUCGAACCCGACGAUACUUCUGAGUGUUCUUAGCGAACUGUCA